rnacentral:rRNA from 1 species
UACGGAGGGGGCUAGCGUUGUUCGGAAUUACUGGGCGUAAAGCGCACGUAGGCGGCGCCGUAAGUCAGGGGUGAAAUCCCGGAGCUCAACUCCGGAACUGCCCUUGAAACUGCAGUGCUAGAAUCUUGGAGAGGCGAGUGGAAUUCCGAGUGUAGAGGUGAAAUUCGUAGAUAUUCGGAAGAACACCAGUGGCGAAGGCGACUCGCUGGACAAGUAUUGACGCUGAGGUGCGAAAGCGUGGGGAGCAAACAGG